AACUAACGCUGGCGGCGCGUCUUAAACAUGCAAGUCAAACGGGUAGCAAUACCAGUGGCGAACGGGUGAGUAAUACAUGGAUAAUCUACCUAAAAGUUGGGGAUAACACAGAGAAAUUUGUGCUAAUACCGAAUGUGACGGUUUGGCAUAGGCCAGAUUGGUUAAAGCAGCAAUGCGCUUUUAGAUGGGUCCAUGGCUGAUUAGCUAGUUGGUGGGGUAAAGGCCCACCAAGGCGACGAUCAGUAGCCGGCCUGAGAGGGUGAACGGCCACAAUGGAACUGAGACACGGUCCAUACUCCUACGGGAGGCAGCAGUUAAGAAUCUUGCUCAAUGGGCGAAAGCCUGAAGCAGCGACGCCGCGUGAACGAUGAAGGUCUUCGGAUUGUAAAGUUCAGUAAGUAGGGACGAAAAAAAUGACGGUACCUACCUAAAGCACCGGCUAACUACGUGCCAGCAGCCGCGGUAA
rnacentral:rRNA from 1 species